rnacentral:hammerhead_ribozyme from 1 species
GCACUGCUGAGGAGUCCCAUACUAGGACGAAAUGGUCGUCUAGUGC